AUUGAACGCUGGCGGCAGGCCUAACACAUGCAAGUCGAGCGAGCGGCGGACGGGUGAGUAAUGUAUGGGGACUGUUCGCUAGAGGGGGAUAACCACUGGAAACGGUGGCGAAUACCGCACACUGUCGGAUACCCCAUAUGGGAUUAGCUAGUAGGUAAGGUAAUGGCUUACCUAGGCGGCGAGCCCUAGCUGGUCUGAGAGGAUGAUCAGCCACACUGGGACUGAGACACGGCCCAGACUCCUACGGAGGCAGCAGUGGGGAAUAUUGCACAAUGGGCGCAAGCCUGAUGCAGCCAUGCCGCGUGUAUGAAGAAGGCCCUAGGGUUGUAAAGUACUUUCAGUCGGGAGGCGUUACCGACAGAAGAAGCACCGGCUAACUCCGUGCCAGCAGCCGCGGUAAUUC
rnacentral:rRNA from 1 species